GUGGAUUCGGAUCGUUGGCUCGUGGAUUCGAGUGGCGUCGUGGAUUCAGCGUGAUUGAAGCUUCGUGGAUUCGAAGUGGAGGCGUUCGUGGACUCGAACGUGAGGGCGUGGACAAUCCGGAGGGUAGCGCGAAGAUUCAUAGGAGGUUAAGAGAGGUUGAGUCCGUGGAGUCAGUAAUCACCUUGUAAUAUUUUCUCUUAGUGAAUUAUUUUUUUCGCGUGUUGAUCCCGUGGGUUUUUCUCCAAGUUGGAGUUUUCCUACGUAAAUCUCGGUGUGCUUUUUAUUUUCCGCAUUUAUUUUUAUUGCAUCGAGAUUUGUGGUUUUUAGCCGGUACACCUAUUCACCCCCCUCUAGGUGAUAGAUACAAUCUAGAUAGAUCCUUGGGCUCCUCAAAACUUUCAGGCGAACCCUCGGGUGCGCCACGAGAUUAAUGGACAGGUAGAUAGCUUUACUUCUUGGACAUGUGACGAGCUAGUUGAUUAACUAUUUCAUUAUACAUGCAUUCAUAUACAUAAUUCGGGCAUAGUAGUGUAGUUAUACUAUUCUGUCUUCACAGCUUUCCAUAUCUAUCUAUCUGUUUAUCUACUUGUGCCCACUUGGACCUAGUGGGGAGACCAGCGGAGUCGGCGGCCGAACCCACUGGGAACUAUAGAAGAUAGUUCUCACCUCACUCUCUACAGGUCCGAGUUCGAGUGCCCCCGGCAAGUGCGAGGAUCGUGGCAAGGGCAUAGCGCCCUAGUGGUGUAUGUACAUAGCUAGCUUUACUUCCUUUUGUAUUAGCCGUCACCCUUUGUAUUUGAGAGUAGAUGAUGUAUAGGUGUGAGGUUAUUUUGGAAGAUGUAAAAGCAUGUUAUAUUUAUGUUCAUAUUUUGAAAGUAAAUCGAUGUAUUAAAGAGAUUGAAUGAAUGUAAUAGAUAGAACCUUCUCUCUUUAUUUACUUGUAUGUCUCAUACUUGUAUCUUGCUCUUAUUUGUUAGCACUAGUGGUGCUCCUUGUGAUCGUGUAUGUAUGAAUUGAUUCCUGGGUAAAUUCUUAUACAUGAUCAGUUUGCUUAGCCUUGGACGGACAGAGGAGGUGCUGUCCAUUCGGCGUCUGUUUGACGCGCUCGAACCGAAUCGAAUUGGUAGCGGUCUCGGGGCGUGACAGCGUCGAAGAACGAAGAAUCCAACACUUCGGAGAAGGCGGAGAUAACUCACGACAUGAAUCACGAUGCUAUGGUAAAGUCUUUACUUCAUGUUAUGGUGAUUCAUACUUAGUUAUAGGCAUUAGAAUCAUUAUUAUCCAUGUUUAGUUGAUUAGAAAGUGCUUCGGAACUCUGCGGAACCCGAAACAGUGCUAAGUCUGAAAAAUGCACUGCGUACCGGUACAGCAAUUGACCCGUACCGGUACAGCCAUCGACUUUGGCUUCGCAAAUUUUUGUUCCGUCAUCGUGUAACCGGUGACAGCCUCACGUGUGCCAGUACACUGUGUAAAAUUGUGAAAACUUUCUAAUCCGACUCCGAUUGAUUCUAAAGUCUAUAAAUAAGUUAUAGGGGUUCUCUAACAGAUCAAGCAUCACGAAAAUACAUGUUUGAGAAACCCUAGAGGCUCGGAUUUCAUCUAAAAUCUAUUUUCUUCAUAAAGCCUCUUUUAGGUCAAAUCGAGAGAUUGUAAUUUGAUAUCAAUAUGUCGAUUUGAUCUUCGCUUCGCUUGGAGAUCUAUUUCCUGAUUUUCAUCGAUACUCUAAGCGAAGGAUCACCAUAAUCAUGAUGCUCUUCAUGACGGCGUCGUGGAUUCUGCGUGAUUGACGGCGGUUCGUGGAUUCGGAUCGUGAGCUUCGUGGAUUCGGAGUGGAGGCGUUUCGUGGAUUCGGAACGUGGCGUUCGUGGAUUCGAACGUGAGGGCGUGGACAACCCGGAGGAUUGCGCGAGAUUCAUAGGAGGUUAAGAGAGGUCGAGUCCGUGGAGUCGGUAAUCACCUUGUAAUCUUUUCUCUUAGUGAAUUAUUUUU
rnacentral:lncRNA from 1 species